CACGCCAGUAGGGGGAAGACCGCGCCUCUGCUUUCAGGUGAUCGAUUGAAGUCUUGUCCUGACUUCCGUAAACGAGCUCUGUUUGAACACCGCUGGAUGAAGUCUUGGAAUGGAUUACACACUCGUCUUGAAUUCGAUCUCACAAAAAAAUUCUCUGGGCUACAAUGCAAAAAUCAAGUCAAAAGCUGGGCCAAAUAUCCAGUCAAGAAAAUCUGGUUGUGUACAGAUUCAUACACCAAAGCCAUGGAAAAAUGUCAUCGGCUGAUGGGAUACUUCUAGCAUUGAGGCAGAAGAAGAU